CUGGGACCUUCUACAUGGAGCCCAAGGCUGCGGGAAGGGCUGAGAAGGACUGGAUGUUCCUACAGGCCCUCCAGUUUUGUAACCGAGGAGCUGGAGUGUGGAACCAAAUAGGUGGAACCAUUCUUGGAAGUGUGGUGUCAGGAGCACAGGCUUGGGCCAGAUUGCCUGGACUGAAUCUUGACUCUGACACAUGCUAGGUGACUGACCUUGGGGUCGUCUUGAGCCUCAGAUGAAAGCUUAGUGGCAUGGAAAAAGGGGAGUUUGGAGCCAAGAGAUCCCGAGUCUGCCAAGUGUCAGUUAAGUGCGCAUAGAUGAGUCAUUUAACCUUCCAGAGCCUUAGCUUCCUUGCCUGUAAAAUGGGCCAAAUAAUAAUAACCCACAGCAUUGUUGUGAGGUCAUGGGAGACAACAUACACAAAGUACUUGAUUGUUUAGAGAGUGCUAAGCAAAUACUGGCAAUUAGUACCAGAAGACAUGGAAAAGCACUUUGGACACUUUUAAAGUGCUGUAUGAAUGGAUGUGUGUGAUGGUGAUAAUAAGGAUUGAUUUACUCAAGAAACAGAGGUCAGGGCUUCCCUGGUGGU